rnacentral:rRNA from 1 species
CUAGCCGUAAACGAUGGAUACUAGGCGUUGUGAGUAUCGACCCUCAUAGUGUCGUAGCUAACGCGUUAAGUAUCCCGCCUGGGGAGUACGCGCGCAAGCGUGAAGCUCAAAGGAAUUGACGGGGGCCCGCACAAGCGGUGGAGUAUGUGGUUUAAUUCGAUGCAACGCGAAGAACCUUACCAGGACUUGACAUGUCGCGAAUCUCAGGGAAACUUGAGAGUGCCUUCGGGAGCGCGAACACAGGUGGUGC